CAGGCAGCAGGUCUGGGUGUUUGCCUGCUGACCCCGAGUCACAAUGGUUCUGUGGUCAUGGGAGAGCUGUGGCAUGCAAGAAGCAGUGUGGGAGGGGAGGAUGUCCUUGGAUGCUGGUGGGAGCGGAGUGAGUGAGCUUUGCCAGUCCUGGCCUGCCCUGCUGUCUGUAGGCUGUCCCACGUCCCCAUCGCUGGUGGGACAGACACAUGGACAC
rnacentral:lncRNA from 1 species